UUUAAGCUUAAAAUAAAAUAAAAUUAGUAUUAGUUAUUUUCUUGAAAUUUAAAGAUUUUGGCGGUAUUUUAGUCCUUUCAGAGGAACCUGUUCUGUAAUCGAUAAUCCACGAUUAAUAUUACUUAUUUUAAUUAGUUUGUAUAUCGUUGUAGUUGAAUAUUUCAUUAGAAUAAAAAUAUUCAAAAUUUAUUAUAAUAAAUAAAAUCAGAUCAAGGUGCAAUUUAUAAAUAAGAAGAAAUGGGUUACAAUAAAAUUAUUUAUAUGAAUAAAUUUAUGAAAAAAAUUUUGAAGGUGGAUUUGAAGGUAAUAAGAUUGAUAUAAAUUUUAUGAUUUUGGCUCUAAAAUAUGC
rnacentral:rRNA from 1 species